rnacentral:rRNA from 1 species
AGGGUGCAUGGUGGAUGUCUUGGUACCAAAAGCUGAUGAAGGACGUGGCGGGCUGCGAUAAGCUUCGGGGAGCUGCCAAACGAGCUUUGAUCCGGAGAAUUCCGAAUUGGGAAACCUGUCGUAAGAAACACUUGUGUUUCUUUUGGUUCAUACCGCGACAUUAUUAUCUGAAUAAAUAGGGUAAUAAGAGGAACGAAGGGAACUGAAACAUCUAAGUACCUUCAGGAAAAGAAAGAAAAAUCGAUUUCCCCAGUAGCGGCGAGCGAAAAGGAAAGAGCCUAAACUGGCUAUAUGUAAUAACCCUUAUGUGUUGUAUGGUCAGGGUCGAGGGAGUUGCGAGGAGCGAGAUAAGGCUUGCUUAAAAAAACUGUUAUUUCUAGCUGAACAAGCAGGAAAGCUUGACUAUAAAGGGUGAUAGUCCCGUAAGUGAAAGGAAUAAAAGUUUUUACUGUAAUUUCCCGAGUAAUGCCGGUCACGUGGAAACCGGCAUGAAUUAAGGAGGACCACCUCCUAAGGCUAAAUACUUUUGGUAACCGAUAGUGAACAAGUAGCGUGAGUGAACGAUGAAAAGAACCCCUUUUAGGGGAGUGAAAUAGAACCUGAAACCAUGUACUUACAAGCGGUGGAAGCACAAUAUUAAUUGAAAUUUAUUUCUUUUAAUUCGUGUAACCGCGUGCCUUUUGUAUAAUGAACCGGCGAGUUGUUGUUUGUUGCAGGUUAAGCCUAUAAUGGGUGAAGCCAAAGCGAAAGCGAGUGCUAACUGCGCGAAUAAAUGUAGCAGAUAGCAGACCCGAAACCGAGUGAUCUACCCUUGGUCAGGAUGAAGUUCCGGUAAAACGGAAUGGAGGUCCGAACGCAUUUACGUUGAAAAGUGAUGCGAUGAACUGAGGGGAGGAGUAAAAGUCUAAUCAAACUCGGAGAUAGCUGGUUCUCCCCGAAAUAGCUUUAGGGCUAGCCUUAUGCAAUCGUGUAGUAGGGGUAGAGAUACUGAUUGAGUAUUGGGGCCCACCAGGCUACCGAGCACAAUCAAACUCCGAAUACUACUGCAUUUGACAUAGGAGUCAGACUAUGGGGGAUAAGCUCCGUAGUCGAGAGGGAAACAGCCCAGACCAUUAGUUAAGGUCCCUAAAAUGAGCUAAGUGAAAAAGGAAGUGAAAGUGCUAAGACAGCUAGGAUGUUGGCUUAGAAGCAGCAAUCAUUUAAAAAGUGCGUAAUAGCUUACUAGCCGAGUACUUUUGUGCCGAAAAUUAGCGGGACUAAAGCUCAUUACCGAAACUAUGGAUCCUAAUCUUUUAGGAUGGUAGGGGAGCGUUCUAUGAUAGGUUGAAGCCUUACUAAAAAGAGAGGUGGACGAAAUAGAAGUGAGAAUGCCGGUAUAAGUAGCGAUAAUAUAAGUGAGAAUCUUAUUCGCCGAAAGCCUAAGGUUUCCUGGGGAAGGUAAAUCCGCCCAGGGUUAGCCGGUACCUAAGUCGAGGUCGAAAGGCGUAGACGAUGGACAACAGGUUAAUAUUCCUGUGCUGCUAUUUAACGUUUGAGCUUGGGAGGACGUGGACACAACGAUUAGCAAACCCAGUAGACAUGGUUUGUUCAAGCUGGAGGCACCGCUCUAGGAAAAUCCGGAGCAAUGAGGUGUCGAAAGCGAGUACGUUGGCUCUUGGCCUAGAAGUAAUCUGAGUGUCUUCCAAGAAAAGUCUCGUUAGCGAGUUAACAUGGCAACCGUACUAAAACUGACACAGGUAGGCAAGGAGAGAAUCCUAAGGCGCUCGAGAGAACCCUCGUUAAGGAAUUCGGCAAACAUACUCCGUAACUUCGGGAUAAGGAGUGCCUUUUUAACUUCGGUUAAAAAGGUCGCAGUGAAAAAGGUCCGGGCGACUGUUUACUAAAAACACAGGUCUCUGCUAAAAUGUAUAAUUGAUGUAUAGAGACUGACGCGUGCUCGAUGCCAGAAAGUUAAGGGGAUAGGUUAUUUCCUGAGCAAUCAGGAGAGAAGCUUGGAACUGAAGCUCUGGUGAAUGGCGGCUCUAACUAUGAGAGUCCUAAGGUAGCGAAGUUCCUUGUCGGGUAAUUUCCGACGCGCAUGAAUCGCGUAACGACCUAAACACUGUCUCAACGAGGGACUCGGCGAAAUUGUAGUUGUGGUGAAGAUGCCACAUACCCGCGGAAAGACGGAAAGACCCCGUGAACCUUUACUGUAGCUUAUUAUUGGAUUUUGGCGCAGUAUGUGUAGGAUAGGUGGGAGACGAGGAAGUUUCGACGUAAGUUGGAAUGGAGUCAAUGGUGAAAUACCACUCUUACUUUGUUAAAAUUCUAAAGGAAUACCGUGAAUCCGGGUUCUUGACAGUGGUAAGUGGGCAGUUUGACUGGGGCGGUCUCCUCCAAAAAAGUAACGGAGGAGUCCAAAGGCUCCCUCAAUGCGGUAGGACAUCCCAUGCACAGUG